rnacentral:rRNA from 1 species
GACGAACGCUGGCGGCGUGCUUAACACAUGCAAGUCGAACGGAAAGGCCCUGCUUUUGUGGGGUGCUCGAGUGGCGAACGGGUGAGUAACACGUGAGUAACCUGCCCUUGACUUUGGGAUAACUUCAGGAAACUGGGGCUAAUACCGGAUAGGAGCUCCUGCUGCAUGGUGGGGGUUGGAAAGUUUCGGCGGUUGGGGAUGGACUCGCGGCUUAUCAGCUUGUUGGUGGGGUAGUGGCUUACCAAGGCUUUGACGGGUAGCCGGCCUGAGAGGGUGACCGGCCACAUUGGGACUGAGAUACGGCCCAGACUCCUACGGGAGGCAGCAGUGGGGAAUAUUGCACAAUGGGCGGAAGACUGAUGCAGCAACGCCGCGUGCGGGAGGACGGCCUUCGGGUUGUAAACCGCUUUCGCCUGUGACGAAGCGAGAGUGACGGUAAUGGGUAAAGAAGCACCGGCUAACUACGUG